rnacentral:rRNA from 1 species
UACGGGGGGAGCAAGCGUUGUUCGGAUUUACUGGGCGUAAAGGGCGCGUAGGCGGCCAGCACAAGUCAGUUGUGAAAUCUCCGAGCUUAACUCGGAAAGGUCAACUGAUACUGUGCGGCUAGAGUGCAGAAGGGGCAACUGGAAUUCCCAGUGUAGCGGUGAAAUGCGUAGAUAUUGGGAAGAACACCGGAGGCGAAGGCGGGUUGCUGGGCCGACACUGACGCUGAGGCGCGAAAGCCAGGGGAGCGAACGGG